rnacentral:rRNA from 1 species
UACGUAGGGUGCAAGCGUUGUCCGGAAUUAUUGGGCGUAAAGAGCUCGUAGGUGGCCUGUCGUGUCGGCUGUGAAAACUCGGGGCUCAACUCCGAGCUUGCAGUCGAUACGGGCAGGCUAGAGUUCGGCAGGGGAGACUGGAAUUCCUGGUGUAGCGGUGAAAUGCGCAGAUAUCAGGAGGAACACCGGUGGCGAAGGCGGGUCUCUGGGCCGAUACUGACACUGAGGAGCGAAAGCGUGGGGAGCGAACAGG